CAAGGCUGGCCUACUCCAGCUCGUUCAUCCGCAUGAUCGAGACGACCAAACCGUUCCACUUCCUCUAGCCUUCAAGUAAAUCCCUUCCAAACGCAUCUCUCCCGAACCCUAACUCCUCCACUUCCCAUCCCCAUCCCUGCAGGGCUCUCCGUAGGCUGAAUCCCAGCAAGAAAGGCAUCCAUCUUCGGCGGGGACAUCAGGUGGUUGUCGAAGCUGACACAGAGGACAACUGAAAGGGGACACAAGAUCAAAAUUCUUCAAUCUCUAUGGAAUUUCCAUUUCAGUAUUCGGUUCUACAAAUAUCCUGCCUUUCUGACUCUUUUCUGACGGGGCAGGGGCAUAUAGUUUUUUCUUCUUCUUGAUUUCCUGCAAGGCAGUGCCAUCCUUUUCCAACAUAUGCAAAACUUCAUCCCACUUUCUUUUAUUAUAGGUUCCAGUCAUAGAUUUGCUUUCGUGGAAGACUACACCAAAGUUUAAAUACUUGUAGGAAGAUACAAAUAUUGGCAAAUAGAUGAAUAUUUGAAAAAGAAAGGCCUUACUGCGGUCGUCGACAGAAAAUCCUUGGGCAGUUUCACUUUUUUUAACUUGUGGUGUAUAAGGUACAUGAGAAUCGAAGCUUUUUGUGUUAGAUAGGAGAGCGCAUCCUUUUGCCAAUUUUGUUCACCAUUAUACUGCUCCAUAAAGAGCAUGGCCAAUGAACCACCGUCGUAGUCAAAAUUCGUCUGCAUGCCCUCCCAUGCAACACGGGCUUGCUUUCUAUGAGAAACUAGCAAUUCACCUAACACAACUUCUAGUUUUGAUAUGACGAUCGCACAGUUUUUCUUGACUUUAGCCAAGGAUUCACUGUAGUUGUUGUUGCACCUCAGAAAUUCAAAUUGACUGUGUUUUCGGUUGUAACAAAAGACAAACCAUUGGUCAUCACCACCAAUUAUAAGAACAAAUAUCUAUAGAAACAAACUUGUAAGGCUCUGAAGAUAAGUCAUACACACAGACGCAUGGAAGACACAUGUAAAUUCAUUUUACCAACUAUAAUUUCUUCACCGGAGUUGCUUUGUCCUCAUCUUUAGACAGCUGCAGAAAAAUCUUCUACUAAUAUUUCGUCAUCAUCAAUAAUCAACUGCUGCACUUAGGAAAAACAAGAGGAAGGUUAGUUUGCUAUUGGAGACCAUUCUGUCAAUUCAUGUUGUGUCGAACUUACCAAGGAUUGUGGCAAGAAAAAAAAGUCUGGAUCCCAAAAGUAUGAUUUUUGAAGCCAUUCUGCAAUCAAACCUGAAGCAAUCCACAAAUGCUUUGACAAUGCUGAGGCCGAUUUUGCUAGUGGACUCAAAGGACAUGGCGAGUACAAUUCCAGUAAUGGUCAACCCACUGAUAUUUAUUAAUACAUCUCUAUCAAUACAAUUGAAUACAUAGUCAGAUAAAUCUUAUCCUAAGGGUAAAUGAGUGCUACAGGUAGGUAAAUAGAACAUGACAAGUUUUCAGAAACUUACUCUUUAUGUAAACCGUGGUUGCAACACACAAGAUUCUUGGUCUGAGAGAUCACAUCUUUUCCCAUUUGCUUCUGUUUGUUAAACUUCUUGACUGGAGAUGCAAAUGGAUUUUUGAGGCGUCGGGAAUGAGCCCUUGUCCUUUUAUUUUUUGGUUUUCUUCUCAUCUACUCAGCUGCCUUCAUCCUGGUUAAAUUCCCCUUGAGGGCUGAAAGAAGAUGUGAUGAAGAAGUAGAAUUGUUCUGGAGGGCUGAAAGAAGAUGCGAUACAUAACCAGAAUUGUUCUUGGCUAUAGAUGAAAGAUGACUUUAAAGCCAAUUUCCAAUGCCUGGUGACUCUAAACUCUCAGAAGCAUUGACAAUAGGGUUGGGUGACUUUGGUACCAACUCAGUAGUAUAUAUGAAUGUCCAACUCGAGAGCUUUCUCUUCGUUCUGAAGUUUUCUUACCAUAACUGAGCCAUGUGCACGCACUAUAUCAUUGAUGGUGCCCUCAAGGCUGUGUACUAAGUUUUGCCGAGAGUGAUGUAUGCCAAGGUUGAAUGAAGCUUUCUGCUGUGCUAGAAGCUUUUCAAUAGUUGGCACCAACAAUUCUUUAA